rnacentral:rRNA from 1 species
AUUGAACGCUGGCGGCAGGCCUAACACAUGCAAGUCGAGCGGAUGAAGGGAGCUUGCUCCUGGAUUCAGCGGCGGACGGGUGAGUAAUGCCUAGGAAUCUGCCUGGUAGUGGGGGAUAACGUCCGGAAACGGGCGCUAAUACCGCAUACGUCCUGAGGGAGAAAGUGGGGGAUCUUCGGACCUCACGCUAUCAGAUGAGCCUAGGUCGGAUUAGCUAGUUGGUGGGGUAAAGGCCUACCAAGGCGACGAUCCGUAACUGGUCUGAGAGGAUGAUCAGUCACACUGGAAGUGAGGCACGGCCCAAACUCCCACGGACGGCCGCGGUAGGGAAAUUUGGCCAAUGGGCGAAAGCCUGAUCCAGCCAUGCCGCGUGUGUGAAGAAGGUCUUCGGAUUGUAAAGCACUUUAAGUUGGGAGGAAGGGCAGUAAGUUAAUACCUUGCUGUUUUGACGUUACCAACAGAAUAAGCACCGGCUAACUUCGUG